rnacentral:rRNA from 1 species
AUGCAAGUCGAGCGGUAGAGAGAAGCUUGCUUCUCUUGAGAGCGGCGGACGGGUGAGUAAUGCCUAGGAAUCUGCCUGGUAGUGGGGGAUAACGUUCGGAAACGGACGCUAAUACCGCAUACGUCCUACGGGAGAAAGCAGGGGACCUUCGGGCCUUGCGCUAUCAGAUGAGCCUAGGUCGGAUUAGCUAGUUGGUGAGGUAAUGGCUCACCAAGGCGACGAUCCGUAACUGGUCUGAGAGGAUGAUCAGUCACACUGGAACUGAGACACGGUCCAGACUCCUACGGGAGGCAGCAGUGGGGAAUAUUGGACAAUGGGCGAAAGCCUGAUCCAGCCAUGCCGCGUGUGUGAAGAAGGUCUUCGGAUUGUAAAGCACUUUAAGUUGGGAGGAAGGGCAGUAAAUUAAUACUUUGCUGUUUUGACGUUACCGACAGAAUAAGCACCGGCUAACUCUGUGCCAGCAGCCGCGGUAAUACAGAGGGUGCAAGCGUUAAUCGGAAUUACUGGGCGUAAAGCGCGCGUAGGUGGUUUGUUAAGUUGGAUGUGAAAUCCCCGGGCUCAACCUGGGAACUGCAUUCAAAACUGACUGACUAGAGUAUGGUAGAGGGUGGUGGAAUUUCCUGUGUAGCGGUGAAAUGCGUAGAUAUAGGAAGGAACACCAGUGGCGAAGGCGACCACCUGGACUAAUACUGACACUGAGGUGCGAAAGCGUGGGGAGCAAACAGGAUUAGAUACCCUGGUAGUCCACGCCGUAAACGAUGUCAACUAGCCGUUGGAAGCCUUGAGCUUUUAGUGGCGCAGCUAACGCAUUAAGUUGACCGCCUGGGGAGUACGGCCGCAAGGUUAAAACUCAA